GCCUUUGUGGUGAAAUGGUAGACACUCGUGAUUCAAAAUCACGCGUCUUAUUGACAUGUCGGUUCGAGUCCGACCAAAGGUA
rnacentral:tRNA from 1 species